rfam:Camelus ferus unplaced genomic scaffold scaffold1389, whole genome shotgun sequence.
GAGGGUAUAGCUCAGUGGUAGAGCAUGUGCUUAACAUGCAUGAGGUCCUGGGUUCAAUCCCCAGUACUUCCA